UCUUUUCGCUUCAAACUUGUGUUCUUCUCGUGUCCAUGCUUGUUUCUCAAGUAUAUCCAUCCAUUUCUCUCUCUCUCUCUCUCUCAAUAUUUAUAUAAAGAUUUAUCUCACUAAGAAACAAUGCAUAUAAGAACAGUUCCUUCUUGGAACAGUUCCUUCUUGGCCCCCAACAUCUCCCUGGACCCUGGUAAUUUCUCAUAGGAGCAAAUACGAUUAGGUCGCCAUGGAGAAGCAGAAUUCAGAGCUGUACUUGAAGAACUGCCAUAUUUUUCUUGAAAAUGAGAGGCUAAGGAAGAAAGCGCAACGGCUCGACCAGGAGAAUCGGGCUUUGUUAUCUGAGCUGCAGCACAGACUUUCAGAAGCAAAUUCAGCACAAAAAAAUGAAUUUGGUAUCAACACCACACCAAAAAAUUCUACGACAGAUCGUAGGAAGUCCAACAAGCCUUGAUCAACUCAUCCCCCGGCCCAUGUAAUGAAUGAGUUUCGUGUAAAAUAAGGUUUAUCUGUAAUGUUUGAUUCUUUGAAGUAUCCAUGAUCAUGCCUUGAAACUUGUUUGGAUAAUUUGUGAGACGGAAUAAUGUAAUAAAUAUUAAAUGUUUGUUUUCGUGAAUAAACAGAGCUACUAAAAUUCGCCAUUA